UUUAUUAAAGCUAAUCCAUGUUUGUUUAUUUUGCCUAAUUACUGCCACAGGCCUUGUUAUUUACAGCGCAGUCUUGGAGAAUAACAAGCCUGGUUACAAGUUGACUCAUGUGACGACUUUUAUAACACUAGGCUGCAUUACGCUACAAUUGACUGUGGACAUCCAAAACACAUUUAUUUUAAGGGCAGCGUCUGUCGGGAAACACAAGAAGCCCACAAUUUAAGUUACUGUGUUAUCUCCGUGCUUAUUCUCAGAGGGACGACCUCGACACUGUCGAUGCAAGUCUGCAGAACUUCCUGUCAACCACAAGAUGGCGAUCAGCGCCAACAAGCGAUUGAGACCAAACUGAGUCUUUCACACAGGCAGCUCCACUUGUGCUUAAAUUAAAACGGACUCCUGAAAAGCUGUUUACUCUGGGUUAACCAUACGGCGAUCCAUGUGAGAAAUCAUUCUUCUCUCGGUGGACUCUGUGGUUAAUAAGUUAUCUGAGGACAAAGAGCUGACAAGCUCACCACCUCAAACCGAGCGAUGGCCUUCCUUCCUUUGGCCCAGGUCACCGGGGUUAUCUGUGACAGGGGAACAAUAGGAAGUGUGACCCAUGGAAUUUGUUUGGUCUACUAAGUGUUCUGCAUGACACUGGACAGACCCUCCCUCUCCACCCGGGACUUCACAGACACUCCGUGGGUGAG